UAAGACAGAAGGUGCAAGCGUUACUCGGAAUUACUGGGCGUAAAGCGUCUGUAGGUGUCUUGCCACGUUUGGUAUUAAAUUUCGGGGCUCAACCCCGAAUGCAUAUCGGAUACGAGCAGGAUCGAGUCACUCAGAGGCAUCUGGAAUGUCGUGUGUAGGGGUAAAAUCCGUAGAUACACGAUGGAACGCCAAAAGCGAAGGCAGGAUGCUAGGGGUGUACUGACACUCAGAGACGAAAGCGUGGGGAGCAAAGGGGAUUAGAUACCCCCGUAGUCCACGCCCUCAACGAUGCGUGCUCGGUGUAGGAACUUCAAUCUGUUCCUGUGCCCUAAGCUUACGCGGUAAGCACGCCGCCUGGGAAGUACGGCCGCAAGGCUA
rnacentral:rRNA from 1 species